UAACGGCUCACCAUGGCAAUGAUACGUAGCCGACCUGAGAGGGUAAUCGGCCACAUUGGGACUGAGACACGGCCCAAACUCCUACGGGAGGCAGCAGUAGGGAAUCUUCCACAAUGGACGAAAGUCUGAUGGAGCAACGCCGCGUGAGUGAAGAAGGGUUUCGGCUCGUAAAACUCUGUUGUUAAAGAAGAACAUAUCUGAGAGUAACUGUUCAGGUAUUGACGGUAUUUAACCAGAAAGCCACGGCUAACUACGUGCCAGCAGCCGCGGUAAUACGUAGGUGGCAAGCGUUGUCCGGAUUUAUUGGGCGUAAAGCGAGCGCAGGCGGUUUUUUAAGUCUGAUGUGAAAGCCUUCGGCUCAACCGAAGAAGUGCAUCGGAAACUGGGAAACUUGAGUGCAGAAGAGGACAGUGGAACUCCAUGUGUAGCGGUGAAAUGCGUAGAUAUAUGGAAGAACACCAGUGGCGAAGGCGGCUGUCUGGUCUGUAACUGACGCUGAGGCUCGAAAGUAUGGGUAGCAAACAGGAUUAGAUACCCUGGUAGUCCAUACCGUAAACGAUGAAUGCUAAGUGUUGGAGGGUUUCCGCCCUUCAGUGCUGCAGCUAACGCAUUAAGCAUUCCGCCUGGGGAGUACGGCCGCAAGGCUGAAACUCAAAGGAAUUGACGGGGGCCCGCACAAGCGGUGGAGCAUGUGGUUUAAUUCGAAGCUACGCGAAGAACCUUACCAGGUCUUGACAUACUAUGCAAAUCUAAGAGAUUAGACGUUCCCUUCGGGGACAUGGAUACAGGUGGUGCAUGGUUGUCGUCAGCUCGUGUCGUGAGAU
rnacentral:rRNA from 2 species